UUUCAUUCUUCACUGCCUAUUUAAUCGUACCUACUGCCCCAUCUAUUUUCAUCUCCCUUUUCGUUACUCAUUUUCGCAUUCGAGUAGCAGCUUAGGGUUAAUCGUGUUCUCUGAUUUCGUGACGAGGCAAUUUUGUGGACUAGAGUUUCUGAUCUGGGUAGUUACUCAGAAGUUGAUUAUCAAACCCUUGGCUGUCUGAGCACAUCAAAGUUUCGAAAAUUAAGUAUUUUUUGAACAUUUUUCAUGUCUCAAAAAUAAUUGUGUUGAAUCUCACCCUUUUUCAUAUAUAAUUGAAUUUGCUUUAGAAAACAAUUUGGCUUAUGAUGAUAAUUUAAUUAUCUUAGCGGAUUUCAGUGAGAUUUUUAUCAAUGAUCUGAUUGUUACACACACUGAAGCCAUUGUUUGAUUGCUUUUAAUAUUUUGUUUAAAAAUUUGUACAUUUGGUCAUUGGUUGUAGUUCUAAUUUGAUGUAUUUGUUCUUAAUUAUGCUACUUUUAUCACCUGAAUUGAUGGGUUUCAUUACAUAGGAAAUGCAUGAUAGUGAGUACUAAUUUUAUGUUAAUGGUGCUAUGAUGAGAUGAAACACUUUGUGGUGUUUUUAGGCAGUGGACGUAACCAAAAGGUUUCGCCGUGAGCCUUCAAUUUAACGACUUCUCCUUCCACUGAGUACCAUAAUUAGAGAUUAUAAUUAGGAACAGCAUUUGAAUAAAUGCAUAUUCUUUGGUAUAAGUUAAACAAUUAGGAUCAUUGUUUUUAAUUGCGUCCAUUACCAAUUCCGGGGGAUAUGUGGUUCCUCCUGGUAUAAUGGCUCGGACGCCAGAUUAAUGACGUGGUCAUCCUGAUUGAUGGUUUCAUCAUCGUGCCAUUUGGUCUUGGAAACGCCACCAAAACUUUUUUUACUUCAAAUUUGAAGAAUACUAAUUUUAUUAUGAUUGCAGUUGAUUAUAUAGGUAGAGAUAUGUUGUAGUGUUUAUAGUUAUAUGAUUAUGAUUGCAGUUGGUUAUACUUCGAAUCAUAAGUACGUGCAAAUUAUGUGUUUUUGAAAUUAGCAUUGGAUUUUGUGAUUUGAAUCGCGUGCUAUGACGAGGCAAUUUUGUGGACUAGAGUUUCUGAUCUGGGAAUAUACUCAGAAGUUGAUUAUUAAACCCUUGGCUGUCUGAGCAUACCAAAUUUUUCGAUUCAACUAAAAUUACUACAAAAUUCACUGGAAACUUUUUUAUUUCUUAAUUGAUUAUAUUUUUUAAUUCAUAUUUUGAUUAGAUUUCUGUAGAUUGAGGCUUUUAUUUGGCUUAUGAUGAUAAUUUUAAUAUCUUAGCGGAUUUCAGUGAGAUUUCUAUCAAUGAUCUGAUUGUUACACACACUGAGGCCAUGAAUUUUAUGCUGUGGAGUCUUAUUUUCUCAUUUUUAUUGUUUGGUUAUUAUUUUUUAACAAUUUUAUGAUCUGAUUGUUACACACACUGUGAGGACAUGCUGUGGAGCGGUGAAAAGACAGAAUGUAUUCCUAUGGAUUCUAAGGGAGAACGAAGGACGGAGUGGAGGAUGGAGGCGGAUCGGUUGGAACGCGGGCUAGCCGGCCGGUAGGUUCGAUUCCUCCCCGAUUCCUAUUUACUCGAUCCAUUGUUCCCUUGUUCGUGCUUAAUUUUUAGAGAACAACGCAAAACAAUUUUCUUUGGCAAUCAAAAUCUUUAUCAUCCCAUAAAACUUUCUAACAUUUCUAAAGAUUUUCCAAACGUUAUCAACAUUUCUAUAACGUCCAAAACUAAAUGUUAUGCAGAUAAUAUUUCUCAAACAAUUAAGUAGUUACUCUCCUCUUAGAA
rnacentral:sRNA from 1 species